rnacentral:rRNA from 1 species
GACAGGGGUCUCGAGCGUUAAUCGGAAUCACUGGGCUUAAAGGGUGCGUAGGCCGCCUCGUAAGUGCUUUGUGAAAGCCCCCGGCUCAACCGGGGAACUGCAGGGCAUACUGCGAGGCUUGAGGAAACUAGAGGCCGGUAGAACGAUAGGUGGAGCGGUGGAAUGCGUAGAUAUCAGGAGGAACACCGGUGGUGUAGACGGCUUUCUGGACCGUAACUGACGCUGAGACACGAAAGCGUGGGUAGCAAACAGG